UUACUACAACCGACACUCAAGUUGGACAAAUGGUAUGUUUUGUUGUUUCUUUUUUUUAAUACUUGCUUUUUGUGUUUACUUUAUUUUGUUUAUAUGCAUUCAUUAUUUUCUUAAAUGCAUGCAGUUUUUGUUGCGUUUGCUUCAAGCUUUUUUAUUUUCAUGUUUUUUGUUUUCUGUUCUUUGUUGUGGAUAUAGAAAGUGCCAGAGAGCGUUGCUACAAGCUUGAACAUCCCUAAAGAAGGGUUGGCUUGUGUUCGUCUAAGCAGUGGGGAGGCAAAGACUCGUGUUGAAUACAGCACGUCUACUGAUGGACGUAUAGCUUUCAACAAAAAGCAGUGGAGGCGUUUCCUUUCAAAGACUACCCUGGAAAUCAGUGACUGCAUCUUCAUGUUCUUCAAGGCCAGCAGCAAGUCUUGCAUGAAUGUUACUGUUGUCGUCAGCAAGCUUUAAGUUUCACUUUCUUUUUCGAGAAGCUAUGUUCCUAGUUAUGUAGUAUGCUGAUGCAAAACAUCGCUGCGGUCUUUUGUUUAUGCGGUUGACAAGAACCAAGUAACCCCCCCGGCUCGUCGUUUGCGAUGUUUAUUAUCUAUGUGUGUUUCAAAACUAUGUGGAAUAUGUGUGUUCUCGUAAUGAUAAGUGAUGUUAUAUAUUUUUCAUCAGUAUGUUUCUUUAGGAGUAAAGGCGUUUACGUUUUUUUAAUGUUUU
rnacentral:lncRNA from 1 species